CCGAUUUAUCGUAGGUGACUUUAAAAAAAAUAACGAGUGAUUCGGACAAACAUAUUAUCCCGUCGUUAAACGGAAAACGUGUUUAAUUUUUAUACUGCCCGUCUACUCGCGGGGCAUGCAAGUCAAAACUCGCGUAAAAAAAAAAAAUUGUAUUCAUCCGGUCAUCUGCUAUUAGCGGUAAUAUCAUUAUCGAUGCGUAUAGCAGCUAUCGUCGAUCGCCAACGACAUUAGUGAUAAACGCCCACGACGAUGGUUUUGUAGGCCAAAAUAAUCCGAAAGCGACGACAAUCAAACGAAAUAACCGCGUUCGGAACCGUGUAGCGGUAACAUUUAUUUUUUAUGCGGCAAGUUUUUUUUUUUUACAAUGAAGUUCAUUUGUUUAAUAGUUUUCCUACAGUAUGUUGUGUCGUAUAAUAUUGUAUUGUCAACCAAUGGCGACGAAUCGGCACCGAC